UACAGGGGUCUCAAGCGUUGUUCGGAUUCAUUGGGCGUAAAGGGUGCGUAGGCGGCGCGGUAAGUCGGGUGUGAAAUCUCGGAGCUUAACUCCGAAACUGCAUUCGAUACUGCCGUGCUUGAGGACUGGAGAGGAGACUGGAAUUUACGGUGUAGCAGUGAAAUGCGUAGAGAUCGUAAGGAAGACCAGUGGCGAAGGCGGGUCUCUGGACAGUUCCUGACACUGAGGCACGAAGGCCAGGGGAGCAAACGGG
rnacentral:rRNA from 1 species